rnacentral:rRNA from 1 species
GAUGAACGCUGGCGGCGUGCUUAACACAUGCAAGUCGAGGCGAAGCGAUCAAAUGGAUUUCUUCGGAAAGAAGCUUGAUUGACUUAGCGGCGGACGGGUGAGUAACGCGUGGGUAACCUGCCUCAUACAGGGGAAUAACAGUUAGAAAUGACUGCUAAUGCCGCAUAAGCGCACAGGGUCGCAUGACCUGGUGUGAAAAACUCCGGUGGUAUGAGAUGGACCCGCGUCUGAUUAGCUGGUUGGUGGGGUAACGGCCUACCAAGGCGACGAUCAGUAGCCGACUUGAGAGAGUGACCGGCCACAUUGGGACUGAGACACGGCCCAA